rnacentral:rRNA from 1 species
CUGACCUGCCCAGUGAUUAAUUUAACGGCCGCGGUAUAUUGACCGUGCAAAGGUAGCAUAAUCAUUAGUCUUUUAAUAGAGGGCUGGAAUGAAAGGUUUAACGAGGAACUGACUGUCUCAUUUUAUUUGUUUUAAAAUUUAAUUUUUUAGUUAAAAAGCUAAAAUUUUAUUGGAAGACGAGAAGACCCUAUAGAUCUUUAUAGAAAUAUGUGUAAUUAUUAUUAUAUUAAUAUGAUUAUAUAUAUUUCUAUUCUGUUGGGGUGACAAAAAUAUACAUAUAACUUUUUUAUUUAUUUAACAUUGAUUUAUGAAUAUAUGAUCCAUUAUUAUUGAUUAUUAGAUUAAGUUACCUUAGGGAUAACAGCGUAAUCCUCCUCCAGAGUUCAUAUUUACAGGAUGGGCUUGCGACCUCGAUGUUGGAUUAAGAUAAUAAUUAGGUGUAGCCGCUUAAUUUAUAGGUCUGUUCGACCUUUAA